rnacentral:rRNA from 1 species
CCUACGGGCGGCAGCAGUGAGGAAUAUUGGUCAAUGGGCGCGAGCCUGAACCAGCCACGUAGCGUGAAGGAUGACUGCCCUACGGGUUGUAAACUUCUUUUGUAGAGAAGUAAAGUGAGGCACGUGUGCCUUUUUGUCUGUCCUUUAUGAUUAAGGAUCGGCUAACUCCGUGCCAGCAGCCGCGGUAAUACGGAGGAUCCGAGCGUUAUCCGGGUUUAUUGUGUGUAACGGGAGCGUAGAUGGGGUUGUAAGUCAGUUGUGAAAGGUUGGGGCGCAACCCUAAAAUUGCAAUUGAUACUGGCAGUCUGGAGUACAGUUGAGGUAGGCGGAAUUCGUGGUGUAGCGGUGAAAUGCUUAGAUAUCACGAAGAACACCGAUUGCGAAGGCAGCUUACUAAACUGCCACUGACAUUGAUGCUCGAAAGUGUGGGUAGCAAACAGGAUUAGAUACCCUGGUAGUC